rnacentral:misc_RNA from 1 species
GUGUGAGUGGUGAUUGGAUGGCAUGGGUUGGCAGGCUCCUUGCUUUGUGCAUUGAACUGUUGGCGCUCCGUCCGCUUCAAUCUCUUCCCCAAGCGAUUUUCUUGGCUUGUGGGUUCGUUUGGUAUCCUGUGUUGCUUACCCACGUAUGGGAAUUGAUCGGUUUUGGUGCUCUCAUCUGCCUAGUGCCUUUUGGGGUGCGGGGUAGACGCGAGGCAGGCUUCCUGUUCCUGGCGUGCUUCGUGCUAAGUUGCGUGGCCGUCUUGGCCCCUGGAGUCUUUGCUCGUGCUCUCGGAUGCGGAAUGUUUUCUGCGUGGGUGUGGGGCCUCGGCCUUGAUCCGCUUAAGCUUUACGCAUUUGUCCUUUGACCCGGAUGACGGCCGCUCCCGUCUCGAUCCCUCCGUAUGGGUCGUGCGGGUGUCGGCGUCUCCGAGGAAUGC